CCUACGGGAGGCAGCAGUGGGGAAUAUUGCACAAUGGGGGAAACCCUGAUGCAGCAACGCCGCGUGAGUGAAGAAGUAUUUCGGUAUGUAAAGCUCUAUCAGUAGGGAAGAAGAAAGACGGUACCUGACUAAGAAGCCCCGGCUAACUACGUGCCAGCAGCCGCGGUAAUACGUAGGGGGCAAGCGUUAUCCGGAUUUACUGGGUGUAAAGGGAGCGUAGGCUGUAUGACAAGUCAAGGGUGAAAUGCCACGGCUCAACCGUGGAACUGCCUUUGAAACUGUCAAACUGGAGUAUGUGAGAGGGCGGCGGAAUUCCUGGUGUAGGAGUGAAAUCCGUAGAUAUCAGGAGGAACAUCAGUGGCGAUGGCGGCCGCCUGGCACAAAACUGACGCUGAGGUGCGAAAGCGUGGGUAGCAAACAGGAUUAGAUACCCGGGUAGUC
rnacentral:rRNA from 1 species